rnacentral:rRNA from 1 species
UUUUUGGAGAGUUUGAUCCCGGCUCAGGAUAAACGCUGGCGGUGUGCUUUAUGCAUGCAAGUCGAACGAACCGUUUCGGCGGUUAGUGGCGGACGGGUGAGUAACACGUAAGUAACCUGUCCUUAAGUGGGGAAUAGCUCUGAGAAAUCGGAAUUAAUACCGCAUGUGGUGAUGGUGGUAAAGCGUCAUCACUAAAGGCUUCGGCCGCUUGAGGAGGGGCUUGCGCACGAUUAGCUAGUUGGUGAGGUAACGGCCUACCAAGGCGACGAUCGUUAGCUGGUUUGAGAGGACGACCAGCCACACUGGAACUGAGACACGGUCCAGACUCCUAC